CUGGUGCCAGCAGCCGCGGUAAUUCCAGCUCCAAUAGCGUAUAUUAAAGUUGUUGCAGUUAAAAAGCUCGUAGUUGAAUUUCGGGAUUGGCGCAUCGGUCGUGCCUCACGGGGUAUGAACUGGUGCAGUCAAUUUCUCACCUUCUGGAGAACCGCGAUGUCCUUAAUUGGAUGCCGUGGGGAACCAGGACCUUUACUUUGAAAAAAUUAGAGUGUUUAAAGCAGGCAUUUUUGCUUGAAUACAUUAGCAUGGAAUAAUAAAAUAGGACGGCAUGGUUCUAUUUUGUUGGUUUCUAGGACCACCGUAAUGAUUAAUAGGGAUAGUUGGGGGCAUUAGUAUUCAAUUGUCAGAGGUGAAAUUCUUGGAUUUAUUGAAGACUAACUACUGCGAAAGCAUUUGCCAAGGAUGUUUUCAUUAAUCAAGAACGAAAGUUAGGGGAUCGAAGACGAUCAGAUACCGUCGUAGUCUUAACCAUAAACU
rnacentral:rRNA from 1 species